UCGGGAAUUUUGGGCAAUGGGCGAAAGCCUGACCCAGCAACGCCGCGUGAAGGAUGAAGUAUUUCGGUAUGUAAACUUCGAAAGAAUAGGAAGAAUAAAUGACGGUACUAUUUAUAAGGUCCGGCUAACUACGUGCCAGCAGCCGCGGUAAUACGUAGGGACCAAGCGUUGUUCGGAUUUACUGGGCGUAAAGCGCGUGUAGGCGGGUCGUUAAGUUGGGGGUGAAAUCCCGAGGCUCAACCUCGGAACUGCCUUCAAAACUGGCGACCUGGACUCAAGCAGAGGCAAGUGGAAUUGCGAGUGUAGAGGUGAAAUUCGUAGAUAUUCGCAGGAACACCAGUGGCGAAGGCGACUUGCUGGGCUUGUAGUGACGCUGAGACGCGAAAGCGUGGGGAGCAAACAGGAUUAGAUACCCCAGUAGUCCCUGAGCGGGCUGGCAAGGCGCAU
rnacentral:rRNA from 1 species